rnacentral:rRNA from 1 species
UACGAAGGGGGCGAGCGUUGUUCGGAUUUACUGGGCGUAAAGGGCGCGUAGGCGCUUGUCAGUCAGGCGUGAAAGCCCCGGGCUCAACCUGGGAACGGCGCUUGGGACGGCGAGGCUGGAGUUCGGGAGAGGAGAGUGGAAUUCCCAGUGUAGAGGUGAAAUUCGUAGAUAUCAGGAGGAACACCGGUGGCGAAGGCGGGUCUCUGGGCCGAUACUGACGCUGAGGAGCGAAAGCGUGGGGGAGCGAACAGG